rnacentral:rRNA from 1 species
GGUGAACGCUGGCGGUAGGCCUAACACAUGCAAGUCGAACGGCAGCACAGUAAGAGCUUGCCCUUACGGGUGGCGAGUGGCGGACGGGUGAGGAAUACAUCGGAAUCUACUUUUUCGUGGGGGAUAACGUAGGGAAACUUACGCUAAUACCGCAUACGACCUACGGGUGAAAGCAGGGGAUCUUCGGACCUUGCGCGAUUGAAUGAGCCGAUGUCGGAUUAGCUAGUUGGCGGGGUAAAGGCCCACCAAGGCGACGAUCCGUAGCUGGUCUGAGAGGAUGAUCAGCCACACUGGAACUGAGACACGGUCCAGACUCCUACGGGAGGCAGCAGUGGGGAAUAUUGGACAAUGGGCGCAAGCCUGAUCCAGCCAUACCGCGUGGGUGAAGAAGGCCUUCGGGUUGUAAAGCCCUUUUGUUGGGAAAGAAAAGCAGCAGGUUAAUACCCCGCUGUUCUGACGGUACCCAAAGAAUAAGCACCGGCUAACUUCGUG